GAUGAACGCUGGCGGUAUGCUUAACACAUGCAAGUCGAACGGUGUCUUCGGACACAGUGGCGGACGGGUGAGUAACGCGUGAGAAUCUGGCUCUAGGUCUGGGACAACCACUGGAAACGGUGGCUAAUACCGGAUGUGCCGAGAGGUGAAAGGUUAACUGCCUAGAGAUGAGCUCGCGUCUGAUUAGCUAGUUGGAAGUGUAAUGGACUCCCAAGGCGACGAUCAGUAGCUGGUCUGAGAGGACGAUCAGCCACACUGGGACUGAGACACGGCCCAGACUCCUACGGGAGGCAGCAGUGGGGAAUUUUCCGCAAUGGGCGAAAGCCUGACGGAGCAAUACCGCGUGAGGGAGGAAGGCUCUUGGGUCGUAAACCUCUUUUCUCAGGGAAGAACAAAAUGACGGUACCUGAGGAAUAAGCAUCGGCUAACUCCGUGCCAGCAGCCGCGGUAAUACGGAGGAUGCAAGCGUUAUCCGGAAUGAUUGGGCGUAAAGCGUCCGCAGGUGGCAAUGUAAGUCUGCUGUUAAAGAGUCUAGCUCAACUAGAUAAAAGCAGUGGAAACUACAUAGCUAGAGUACGUUCGGGGCAGAGGGAAUUCCUGGUGUAGCGGUGAAAUGCGUAGAGAUCAGGAAGAACACCGGUGGCGAAGGCGCUCUGCUAGGCCGUAACUGACACUGAGGGACGAAAGCUAGGGGAGCGAAUGGGAUUAGAUACCCCAGUAGUCCUAGCCGUAAACGAUGGAUACUAGGCGUGGCUUGUAUCGACCCGAGCCGUGCCGUAGCUAACGCGUUAAGUAUCCCGCCUGGGGAGUACGCCGGCAACGGUGAAACUCAAAGGAAUUGACGGGGGCCCGCACAAGCGGUGGAGUAUGUGGUUUAAUUCGAUGCAACGCGAAGAACCUUACCAAGGCUUGACAUGUCGCGAAUCUUCUUGAAAGGGAAGAGUGCCUUCGGGAGCGCGAACACAGGUGGUGCAUGGCUGUCGUCAGCUCGUGUCGUGAGAUGUUGGGUUAAGUCCCGCAACGAGCGCAACCCUCGUUUUUAGUUGCCAGCAUUAAGUUGGGCACUCUAGAGAGACUGCCGGUGACAAACCGGAGGAAGGUGGGGAUGACGUCAAGUCAGCAUGCCCCUUACGCCUUGGGCUACACACGUACUACAAUGCUCCGGACAGAGGGCAGCAAGCAUGCGAAUGCAAGCAAAUCCCGUAAACCGGAGCUCAGUUCAGAUCGCAGGCUGCAACUCGCCUGCGUGAAGGAGGAAUCGCUAGUAAUUGCAGGUCAGCAUACUGCAGUGAAUUCGUUCCCGGGCCUUGUACACACCGCCCGUCACACCAUGGAAGCUGGUAGUGCCCGAAGUCAUUACUCCAACCAUUCGUGGAGGAGGAUGCCUAAGGCAGGACUGGUGACUGGGGUGAAGUCGUAACAAGGUAGCCGUACCGGAAGGUGUGGCUGGAUCACCUCCUUU
rnacentral:rRNA from 1 species